UACGAAGGGUGCAACGUUGCUCGGAAUUAUUGGGUACGUAAGCGCACGUAGGCGGCUUAGCAAGUCGGAAAGUGAAAGGCCCUCGGCCUCAACCAAGGAAGAUGCUUUCGAAACUGCUGAGCUUGAGUAGUUAAGAGGAUCGCGGAAUUCCCGGUGAUAGAGGUGAAAUUCGUAGACUAUCGGGAGGAACACCAGUGGCGAAGGCGGACGAUCUGGGAACAUACUGACGACUGAGGUGGCGAAAAGCGAUUGGGGAGACCAAACAGGG
rnacentral:rRNA from 1 species